UACAGGGGGGGCAAGCGUUGUUCGGAAUUACUGGGCGUAAAGGGUCUGUAGGUGGCCAACUAAGUCAAACGUGAAAUCCCUCAGCUUAACUGGGGAACUGCGUCUGAUACUGGAUGGCUCGAGUUCGGUAGGGGAGACUGGAAUUCCUGGUGUAGCGGUGAAAUGCGCAGAUAUCAGGAGGAACACCGGUGGCGAAGGCGGGUCUCUGGGCCGAUACUGACGCUGAGGAGCGAAAGCGUGGGGAGCGAACAGG
rnacentral:rRNA from 1 species